rnacentral:rRNA from 1 species
GCAGCCUGAUGCAGCAACGCCGCGUGAGGGACGACGGCCUUCGGGUUGUAAACCUCUUUUAGUAGGGAAGAAGCGAAAGUGACGGUACCUGCAGAAAAAGCACCGGCUAACUACGUGCCAGCAGCCGCGGUAAUACGUAGGGUGCAAGCGUUGUCCGGAAUUAUUGGGCGUAAAGAGCUCGUAGGCGGUUUGUCGCGUCUGCUGUGAAAACUGGAGGCUCAACCUCCAGCCUGCAGUGGGUACGGGCAGACUAGAGUGCGGUAGGGGAGAUUGGAAUUCCUGGUGUAGCGGUGGAAUGCGCAGAUAUCAGGAGGAACACCGAUGGCGAAGGCAGAUCUCUGGGCCGUAACUGACGCUGAGGAGCGAAAGCAUGGGGAGCGAACAGGAUUAGAUACCCUGGUAGUCCAUGCCGUAAACGUUGGGAACUAGAUGUAGGGACCAUUCCACGGUUUCUGUGUCGCAGCUAACGCAUUAAGUUCCCCGCCUGGGGAGUACGGCCGCAAGGCUAAAACUCAAAGGAAUUGACGGGGGCCCGCACAAGCGGCGGAGCAUGCGGAUUAAUUCGAUGCAACGCGAAGAACCUUACCAAGGCUUGACAUAUACGAGAACGGGCCAGAAAUGGUCAACUCUUUGGACA